rnacentral:rRNA from 1 species
UAGGGAGGGGGAUAAUUUAUAGCUGUCAUUCAGUCGUGCGUAUGAAUAAAGUCGCAUGUCUGUUAGUCAGUUUAGGGGAGCUGACCUAUGAUGAGCCUUGCUAAUUGACAUAGUAUUGACUACGCUCUCUCGCUGAUGUUGUGAAUGACCGUAUUGACCGGCUUUGCAGUGAGCUGAUACGGUUGGCGUAGCAUCAUCGAACGAUCUGAGCGAGUCAGUGUAUAUGGAAUGGAUAAGCUGCCCAACAGCCGACCUGCUUUUCCCCGCGGUCGUCAAGAUGCAUUAAGGGGGGCGGCAAGACAGGUUUGCAACUGAUAACGUGCAGUAAUCACAGUGCUUAUAAUGCUAGUUAGCUUCAGUCAUUAGGCACCACAGGCUUUACACUAAUGUUUAGGCCUAAUAUGUAGCGUUCAAUUUUAAGCGUAUAACAAUUUGAUUCAGGGAACAACUAUGCACGGGAUUAGGCCAAGCAUGCUAAAGAACUCGAAUCCACCAGCAACUCCCGCCAAUGUGAUGCAACUUGGCUUGCAGAGAUCGUUUAGUGCUUGUAAGAGAACCGUAACACAGGUGGCACAUGGCUGUUGUCACAUCGUGUGGAGAGAUGUUGGUAUAUGUCGCGCAGAGAGCACCACCUAUCCCUUUUAUCCCCAUCAUUUUGUUGGGCACUUUAAUGGGACUGCCGGUGACAAACCGGAGGAAGGUGGGGAUGACGUCAAGUCCUCAUGGCCCUUAUGGGCAGGGCUUCACACGUAAUACAAUGGAUGGUACAGAGGGAAGCCAACCCGCGAGGGGGAGCCAAUCCCAAAAAGCCAUUCGUAGUCCGGAUUGUUGUCUGCAACUCGACUACAUGAAGUCGGAAUCGGUAGUAAUCGUGGAUCAGCAUGUCGCGGUGAAUACGUUCCCGGGCCUUGUACACACCGCCCGUCACACCAUGGGAGUGGGUUUCACCAGAAGUAGUUAGUUUGACCGCGAGGGGGACGAUUACCACGGUAGGAUUCAUGAGUGGGGUGAAGUCAAACAAGAUAACCGUAAAGC